AACGAACGCUGGCGGCAUGCCUAACACAUGCAAGUCGAACGAGACCUUCGGGUCUAGUGGCGCACGGGUGCGUAACGGGUGGGAACCUGCCCUUAGGUUCGGAAUAACUCCCCGAAAGGGGUGCUAAUACCGGAUAAUGUCUUCGGACCAAAGAUUUAUCGCCUUUGGAUGGGCCCGCGUUGGAUUAGCUAGUUGGUAGGGUAAAAGCCUACCAAGGCGACGAUCCAUAGCUGGUCUGAGAGGAUGAUCAGCCACACUGGGACUGAGACACGGCCCAGAAUCCUACGGGAGGCAGCAGUGGGGAAUAUAGGAACGUGGGCGAAAGCCUGAUCCAGCAAUGCCGCGUGAGUGAUGAAGGCCUUAGGGUUGUAAAGCUCUUUUACCCGGGAUGAUAAUGACAGUACCGGGAGAAUAAGCUCCGGCUAACUCCGUG
rnacentral:rRNA from 1 species